AUGAAUAAGCUCUCUGGUAAUAUUCCUGAUGCUCUUGGCCAUAUUGGAAGCCUGGAAGAACUAUACAUAGCACACAACAGCUUAUCAGGGUCAAUCCCAUCAGUUCUACAGAAUUUGACAUCAUUGUCUGUACUGGAUAUAUCCUUCAAUAAUUUGCAAGGUGAGGUGCCAGAUGAAGGUGUUUUCAGAAACAUCACUUACUUAGUAGUUGCUGGGAAUAUUAAUUUGUGUGGUGGUACACCUCAACUUCACUUGGCUCCAUGCCCCACAAGCCCCUCAAGCAAGAACAGAAAAAGGAUGCCAAAGUCUCUUGUAAUUUCUCUAGCAACAGCCGGAGCAAUCUUGCUGUCACUUUUAGUUAUUCUUCUUCUUUGGAUAUUUUGCAAGAAGCUCAAACCAAGCCAGAAGACAUUAGCACACAAUUCAAUUGUUGAUGACCAUUACAAGAGAAUCCCAUAUCAUGCAUUAUUGAGGGGAACUAAUGAAUUUUCAAUAGCCAACUUGCUUGGGAGAGGAAGUUAUGGUGCGGUUUAUAAGUGUGUUUUGGACACUGAAGAUAGAACAUUGGCUGUCAAGGUAUUUAAUCUUGGUCAAUCUAGGUAUUCCAAGAGUUUUGAGGUUGAAUGUGAGGCCAUGAGAAGGAUACGACACCGUUGUCUGAUUAAGAUCAUUACUUCCUGUUCGAGCGUCAACCACCAAGGUCAAGAGUUCAAGGCAUUGGUUUUUGAGUUCAUGCCCAAUGGUAACUUGGAUGGUUGGCUUCAUCCAAAAUCUCAAGAACCGACCACAAACAACACGCUUAGCCUUGCCCAGAGGCUCGAUAUUGCUGCUGAUAUUGUGGACGCAAUAGAAUAUCUGCACAACUACUGUCAACCAUUGGUAAUCCAUUGCGAUCUUAAGCCAAGCAACAUUCUUCUUGCUGGAGACAUGAGUGCACGAGUUGGUGACUUUGGCAUAUCAAGGAUCCUUCAAGAAAAUACAAGCGAGGGGAUGCAAACUUCAUAUGGCUCAACUGGAAUUAGAGGUUUCAUAGGCUAUGUUGCUCCAGAGUAUGGAGAAGGCUCUGCGGCCUCAACGGCUGGUGAUAUUUAUAGCCUUGGCAUAUUGCUGCUUGAGAUGUUUACCGGAAGGAGCCCAACAGAAGGCACAUUCGGAGAUUCAUUGGAUCUGCAUAAGUUUGCUGAGGAUGCUCUUCCAGAUAGAACCUUGGAGAUAGCUGACCCAACAAUGUGGCUGCACAGCGGACAACAUGAUAACAGUACAAGUAUUAGAAUCCAGGAGUUGUUGGUUUCAGUCUUCAAGCUUGGCAUAUUCUGCUCAAAGCAACAACCUCGAGACCGAGCACUAACGAGAGAUGCAGCGGAAGAGAUGCAUGCAAUCAGAGAUGCGUACCUCAAAUUUAUAGGGGGGCAUGGAGCAGAAAAAGAAGCCUCGACUCGAGAAAUCCAGAAUAGCCUUGAAUAA
rnacentral:rRNA from 1 species